rnacentral:rRNA from 1 species
UUGGGAAUAUUGGACAAUGGAGGAAACUCUGAUCCAGUGACGUCGCGUGAAGGAAGAAGGUCUUCGGAUUGUAAACUUAUUUUGUCAAGGAAGAAAAAAUGACAGUACUUGAAGAAAAAGCACCGGCAAACUACGUGCCAGCAGCCGCGGUAAUACGUAGGGUGCGAGCGUUAUCCGGAUUUACUGGGUGUAAAGGGUGAGUAGAUGGUAUAUCAAGUUAGAUGUGAAAACUUAGUGCUCAACAUUAAGACUGCAUCUAAAACUGAUAAACUAGAGUACAGGAGAGGAAAGUGGAAUUCCUAGUGUAGCGGUGAAAUGCGUAGAUAUUAGGAGGAACACCAGUGGCGAAGGCGACUUUCUGGACUGUAACUGACAUUGAGGCACGAAAGUGUGGGGAGCAAACA